AUUUAAUGAUGAAUACCAAUCAUUUUCUGACACCUCUAAUGAAACAUCGUGAUUCUAUUAGUUGAUUGUUAUAAUCUGAGAAU